GUGAAUCAUCGAAUUUUUGAACGCAAAUUGCACUCUCUUCGGAGAGUAUGCCUGUUUGAGGGUCAGCCUAAAAAAAAAAUCGACAUAGUCGCUGUUUCGCGGUUACAUUUGUCGGUAAUUGGGUCAUCUUAAAACUUUGUGUUUUAAUCGGCUUUAAAUUUUCUUUACGCUUUCACGGACGUUUCCAAGAUUUACUUCUUAUACGUCUAAGGUAUCGAUCUUUAUUAGACCUGGCC
rnacentral:misc_RNA from 1 species